rnacentral:misc_RNA from 1 species
AAGUCGUAACAAGGUUUCCGUAGGUGAACCUGCGGAAGGAUCAUUACUGAUUUGCUUAAUUGCACCACAUGUGUUUUGUUCUGGACAAACUUGCUUUGGCGGUGGGCCCCUGCCUGCCGCCAGAGGACAUAAACUUACAACCAAAUUUUUUAUAAACUUGUCACGAGAUUAUUUUUAAUAGUCAAAACUUUCAACAACGGAUCUCUUGGUUCUC